rnacentral:rRNA from 1 species
GACGAACGCUGGCGGCGUGCCUAACACAUGCAAGUCGAGCGGAGGCGGAGGAGAGCCCAGCGAUGGGAAGGAGACUGCUUUAGCGGCGAACGGGUUAGUAACACGUAGGCAAUCUGCCCUCUGGACCGGGAUAACAGACCCAAAGGCCUGCUAAUACCCCAUGACGCCGUACUCUCGCAUGGGAGAACGGCCAAAGGGGAAACCCGCCGGAGGAGGAGCCCGCGUCCCGUUAGCUAGUGGGCGGUUUAACGGACCACCAAGGCGAUGGUGGGCGGCCGGCCUGAGAGGGUGAGCGGCCAAAUUGGGACUGAGACACGGCCCAGACUCCGACGGGGGGCAGCAGUGAGGGAUUUUCGGCAAUGGGCGAAAGCCUGACCGAGCGACGUCGCGUGAGCGAAGAAGGCCUUCGGGUCGUAAAGCUCUGUCUAGGGGGAAGAGAUAGGACGGUACCCCUGGAGGAAGCCACGGCUAACUACGUGCCAGCCGCCGCAGUAACAC